GCCGGCGUAGCUCAGUUGGUAGAGCAUCUGAUUUGUAAUCAGAGGGUCGGGGGUUCAAAUCCCUCCGCCGGCUCCA
rnacentral:tRNA from 2 species